rnacentral:rRNA from 1 species
UCCGUAGGUGGAUAAAUAAGUCAGAGGUGAAAUCCUGCAGCUCAACUGUAGAACUGCCUUUGAUACUGUUUAUCUUGAGUCAUUAUGAAGUGGUUAGAAUGUGUAGUGUAGCGGUGAAAUGCAUAGAUAUUACACAGAAUACCGAUUGCGAAGGCAGAUCACUAAUAAUGUACUGACACUAAGGGACGAAAGCGUGGGGAGCGAACAGGAUUAGAUACCCUGGUAGUCC